rnacentral:rRNA from 1 species
AGAGUUUGAUCCUGGCUCAGGAUGAACGCUAGCUACAGGCUUAACACAUGCAAGUCGAGGGGCAGCAUUUCCCAGCAAUGGGAAGAUGGCGACCGGCGCACGGGUGAGUAACACGUAUCCAACCUGCCGGCGGCCCGGGGAUAGCCUUUCGAAAGAAAGAUUAAUACCCGAUGGCGCCCGGGGGCCGCAUGGCCCCCGGGCUAAAGAAUUUCGGCCGCCGAUGGGGAUGCGUUCCAUUAGGUUGUUGGCGGGGUCACGGCCCACCAAGCCUUCGAUGGAUAGGGGUUCUGAGAGGAAGGUCCCCCACAUUGGAACUGAGACACGGUCCAAACUCCUACGGGAGGCAGCAGUGAGGAAUAUUGGUCAAUGGGCGGGAGCCUGAACCAGCCAAGUAGCGUGGAGGACGAAGGCUCUAUGGGUCGUAAACUCCUUUUUUGCGGGAAUAAAGUUCGCCACGUGUGGCGUUUUGCAUGUACCGCACGAAUAAGGAUCGGCUAACUCCGUGCCAGCAGCCGCGGUAAUACGGAGGAUCCGAGCGUUAUCCGGAUUUAUUGGGUUUAAAGGGAGCGUAGGUGGGCUCGUAAGUCAGUUGUGAAAGUUCGCGGCUCAACCGCGGAAUUGCAGUUGAUACUGCGGGCCUUGAGUGCAGCAGAGGUGGGCGGAAUUCGUGGUGUAGCGGUGAAAUGCUUAGAUAUCACGAGGAACUCCGAUUGCGAAGGCAGCUCGCUGGACUGUUACUGACACUGAUGCUCGAAAGUGUGGGUAUCAAACAGGAUUAGAUACCCUGGUAGUCCACACAGUAAACGAUGAAUACUCGCUGUUUGCGAUACACUGCAAGCGGCCAAGCGAAAGCGUUAAGUAUUCCACCUGGGGAGUACGCCGGCAACGGUGAAACUCAAAGGAAUUGACGGGGGCCCGCACAAGCGGAGGAACAUGUGGUUUAAUUCGAUGAUACGCGAGGAACCUUACCCGGGCUUGAAUUGCAGACGAGCGUCCCGGAAACGGGACGGCCGCAAGGCGUCUGCGAAGGUGCUGCAUGGUUGUCGUCAGCUCGUGCCGUGAGGUGUCGGCUUAAGUGCCAUAACGAGCGCAACCCUCAUCCCCAGUUACUAACGGGUCACGCCGAGGACUCUGGGGGGACUGCCGUCGUAAGAUGCGAGGAAGGUGGGGAUGACGUCAAAUCAGCACGGCCCUUACGUCCGGGGCCACACACGUGUUACAAUGGGGGGUACAGCAGGUCGCUACCCGGUGACGGGAUGCCAAUCUCCAAAGCCCCUCUCAGUUCGGAUCGAAGUCUGCAACCCGACUUCGUGAAGCUGGAUUCGCUAGUAAUCGCGCAUCAGCCACGGCGCGGUGAAUACGUUCCCGGGCCUUGUACACACCGCCCGUCAAGCCAUGGGAGCCGGGGGUACCUGAAGUGCGUAACCGCGAGGAGCGCCCUAGGGUAAAACUGGUGACUGGGGCUAAGUCGUAACAAGGUAGCCGUACCGGAAGGUGCGGCUGGAACACCU